GGCCCUGUAUUCAUCUUGUGAUUAUAGAAUGCAAUUCUGUAGGGGUAAGUUAAUCCUUAUCAAGGCCU
rnacentral:tRNA from 1 species